rnacentral:lncRNA from 1 species
UUUAGGAAAGGGUACGGCAUAGUCAGUGUGGCGUCACCAGGGAGAGCGUUUUGGCAGCAGUAUGUAGAAUGGAAUGCAAAGGAGAGAAACAAGGAGUGGGAGUUGUGGUGUGUUUAGGGCUGGAGCACCAGGCACUGGUUUCUGUAGACCUUGGUUUGAAAUCAAAACCCAGUGAGCAUGAGUUCCAACCUCCUGUUUCUUACAGGACUGGAGCAUCAAUCCUGUCCCAUUGAGGUAUGAGCAGGAGCUUUGUGCUCCAGCUCCACAGGGCCCUUCCUCUCAGUUUCUGAGGUUCCAGCAGCAACCAGAAGAAGAUCAUAGCUGGGUGCUGGCAACAUGAAGAUCUUUGAGGACGUGACAAGAGCAGCCUCCGCAGUGUGAUAGGAAAUGAAACCUGAGCGCAGCGAGGGGGGCAGAGAUGUUGAAAUGAGAAAGUCAUGACAACCUCCACAGAUACCUCUUUCCAGAGGCUUUGCUGUGAAGACUGAAACAACUGGGAACUUAUGUGGGAUGAAGAGCUGCCUCCAGUGGUCUCGGCAGUGUCUCAAGUCUCCUGUCGGGUAGAUUCUUGCAGAAUGAGGCUGGAAGUGCCACUCAGAGGAUCUGAUUCUAACCUCUGCAUAAGCAAAAACCCAGGCCUUGUGUUCCUCAAUUGGAGCCUGGGCUCUCAUAUGCCACUUAUUUUUUCUUAAGUGGAGCAAAGAUUGUGUCAAUAAAAGCAAAGAACACUUGUUUCAUAUAUAUUUAAAGCUGACGAGUACUUUGUAUAUCACAUUAAGUAGGAAAUUGCUCCAG